rnacentral:rRNA from 1 species
UACGAAGGGGGCUAGCGUUGCUCGGAUUGACUGGGCGUAAAGGGCGCGUAGGCGGUUCGUACAGUCAGACGUGAAAUUCCUGGGCUCAACCUGGGGACUGCGCUUGAGACGUGUGGGCUUGAGUGGGGAAGAGGGUCGUGGAAUUCCCAGUGUAGAGGUGAAAUUCGUAGAUAUUGGGAAGAACACCGGUGGCGAAGCGGCGACCUGGUCCUUUACUGACGCUGAGGAGCGAAAGCGUGGGGAGCAAACAGG